GUCCUGAGCCUAGAGUUCGAUGUCACCAUGCAAGCGUGAACGCCCGCUUGCAAAGGCUUGACGCGUCCGCCCCUUCCUUUUGUAAAGUUAGUCGCAUUAAUGGAGGCGCUGUUCCCGCGCUGAUGUCGCAAUGAGCUCCGCGCNUUUCCCGAUCGUUCUCGUCUCUCACUACGAUCAUGUGAUGCCGCGCAAGCAGUUCUGGCUUCAACUUGACAAGCCGACCAGCGAUUUCGUCUGCCACAUCGUGCGCGUGAACGUCAUUGUCGCACUCAUGAGAGCUGCGAU
rnacentral:misc_RNA from 1 species